UAUAUUGGUCAAUGGGGGCAACCCUAAUCCAGCCAUGCCGCUCGUGUUAAGAAGGUCUUCGAAUUGUAAAGUACUUUAUGUCGGGAGGAAGGGCUUUAGGUUACUACACUGAAGUUUUGACGUUACCAAAAGAUUAAGAACACGCAAACUCUGUGCACGACGCCGCGGUAAUACAGAGGGUGCAAGCGUUAAUCGGAAUUACUGGGCGUAAAGCGCGCGUAGGUGGUUCAGUAAGAUGGGUGUGAAAUCCCCGGGCUUAACCUGGGAACUGCUUUCAUAACUGCUGAGCUAGAGUACGGUAGAGGGUAGUGGAAUUUCCUGUGUAGCGGUGAAAUGCGUAGAUAUAGGAAGGAACACCAGUGGCGAAGGCGACUACCUGGACUGAUACCGACACUGAGGUGCGAAAGCGUGGGGAGCAAAC
rnacentral:rRNA from 1 species